rnacentral:rRNA from 1 species
CCCGCUCAGAAACUUAAAGGAAUUGACGGGGGCCCGCACAAGCGGUGGAGCAUGUGGUUUAAUUCGACGAUACGCGAAGAACCUUACCCGGGUUUGACAUUGUAUCGAAGCAUCCAGAGAUGGAUGUGUCUCUUCGGAGACGGUAUGACAGGUGCUGCAUGGUUGUCGUCAGCUCGUGUCGUGAGAUGUUGGGUUAAGUCCCGCAACGAGCGCAACCCCUAUUGCUAGUUACCAUCAUUAAGUUGGGGACUCUAGCGAGACUGCCAGUGAUAAACUGGAGGAAGGUGGGGAUGACGUCAAAUCAUCAUGCCCCUUAUGACCUGGGCUACAAACGUGAUACAAUGGCUGGAACAAAGGGAUGCGAAGCAGUGAUGUGGAGCGAAACCCAUAAAAACAGUCUCAGUUCGGAUUGAAGUCUGCAACUCGACUUCAUGAAGUCGGAAUCGCUAGUAAUCGCGGAUCAGAACGCCGCGGUGAAUACGUUCUCGGGGUUU